AGACACUUCAGAUUGGAAAUUCACAUAGAGAAAAUGAGGUGUGUGGAUCAAAAUGGAUCAUGCUGCACAUAGCUGAAGCCUGGGCAGAGGAAACUGAGGCUUUUGGAGAUUAAAGAUUUGCCCAAAGACACAUAAGUAUUAAGUGGCAGAGCGGGGUUUGUCCCCAGAUCUGGAUGACUUCCAAGCCCAGCGUGUACUGGAUGAGAUGGUACCUUCAGUGUCUAUUCAUUUAAAGAAGGUACUCAUGCCCUUACUUUAUUCACCCGAAGUGAGGAUGUGAACUUCUUAAGAUGAGGCAGAGUGUACACUCUGCUGAACCAGACAAGAAAAUCAAGGAUUCUGCGAGGCCUGGGGACUUGCCGAAGUUCCAGAGCGAGUCGUUGGUGGCAGAGCUGGGACCGGAAGCCAGGCAUCCAGCCAAGUCCUGUGCAACACACAAACACAUGUACAACUUGCCAGCUGAGAAGUCUGAGAGGUGCUAUCAUGUUGCUCCUGUGGGCUGGGCAGAGGUAGCAGCAGCCACAUGCAAGACAGUUGAAGGUGUAUAAGAGGCACCUCUACAGGUAGUAAAAUGUAGUGACUGAGAGCACAGAUCUUGGAGCCAGAGUGCCUGGGUUCUAAUCCCAGCUCUGCCACUUACUAAGGCAGCUUGUCUAAAGUCUUUGCAUCUUGUUUUCCUCUCCUGUA